UGUUUACUGGAGAUAUAUGAUUGUGAUGAUACCUACUCCGGACGGGGCAGUUUAACCCAGUAGGCAAGGACUGUGAUGAGUGACUGCCCCCUCAGUAUCCUAGGCCUGAUGUUACCCAGCAGUCCGUACUCUGGAAGAUGGUAUCCCAGGUGAGGGUGGAGCAGAUGGUCAAAACAGAAGAGAUGUCACAGCUUUGUGCAGCAGGCGGAGAUGUUGAAAUCCACAGAUUUGCCCACUGAUGUUAUAUACCUAUGCUAGAUGGAAUAGUGUGUUGUUACUAUAGGCUGGCGAUACACUUGCUGAUUUACUUACUCAAGCCAGGUGGAACUUUGAAAUGGCAAGCCGGCAAUGAUGUUACUCUCCCCUGAUGAAGCUUUAUCUUCCUGGGGACCGAGGACUGACAGCUCCCCCUUAUAUGGCUUGAAUAGAUCGGCUAAUGGCUGCAUUAAAAGGGAAAAAAUAAUUUUAAUGAACAUGAUGCAAAAUAUCUAUAAUGAACAAGAGAAUGGUCAUCGUAUUUGCUUUUAGUCAAUAUGAAGGACUUUUAUUCUGUAAAAUAGCAGUUUGUGUUGCAG